rnacentral:rRNA from 1 species
AGCGAACGCUGGCGGCAGGCCUAAUACAUGCAAGUCGAACGGCUCUUCGGAGCAGUGGCGGACGGGUGAGUAACGCGUGGGAAUGUGCCCUUAGGUACGGAACAACACAGGGAAACUUGUGCUAAUACCGUAUGUGCCCUUCGGGGGAAAGAUUUAUCGCCUUUGGAGCAGCCCGCGUUGGAUUAGCUAGUUGGUGAGGUAAAGGCUCACCAAGGCGACGAUCCAUAGCUGGUCUGAGAGGAUGAUCAGCCACACUGGGACUGAGACACGGCCCAGACUCCUACGGGAGGCAGCAGUAGGGAAUCUUGCGCAAUGGGCGAAAGCCUGACGCAGCCAUGCCGCGUGUAUGAUGAAGGUCUUAGGAUUGUAAAAUACUUUCACCGGGGAAGAUAAUGACGGUACCCGGAGAAGAAGCCCCGGCUAACUUCGUGCCAGCAGCCGCAGUAACAC